rnacentral:rRNA from 1 species
CCUACGGGAGGCAGCAGUGGGGGAUAUUGCACAAUGGGGGGAACCCUGAUGCAGCGACGCCGCGUGGGUGAAGGAGUGCUUCGGCAUGUAAAGCCCUAUCGGCAGGGAAGAAGCAAGACGUUACCUGACUAGGAACCCCCGGAUAACUACGUGCCAGCAGCCGCGUUAAUACGUAGGGGGCGAGCUUGAUCCGGAUUCACUGGGGGUAAAGGGAGCGGAGACGGCCAAGCAAGCCAGGGGUGAAAGACCGGGGCCCAACCUCGGGACUGCCUUUGAAACUGGAAGGCUGGAGUGCAGGAGGGGCGAGCGGAAUUCCGGGUGUAGCGGUGAAAUGCGUAGAUAUCAGGAAGAACACCGGCGGCGAAGGCGACCUGCUGGACCGUGACUGACGUUGAGGCUCGAAAGCGUGGGGAGCGAACAGGAUUAGAUACCCUAGUAGUC